rnacentral:lncRNA from 1 species
AAAGGAAAAAAGUUUAUUAGUCACCUUGACAGUGUACCUCCAAACACCAAAAUGACUAAUAAUUUCCUAGGGAAUUAGAAAGACAGCAUCGAACAGAUUACAGUUCAAGAUGGACCACCUUUGUGCUUUUUUAAGAACCCAAGAAUAAAAGAAGCAUCCGCAGAUUCUUGUUGAUACAUUAGAACUUACAAAGUUCUAAAUGUACUUGACAGAUCAAAAUAGUAGGAAACUAAAUUAACUCUGCAUUCCUAACAACAAUAAAAUAGCAAGCAAGAAGCAUUAAAAGAAAACAGAGAGCAGCAUGAGCACACAACAUUAAAAAAUUGGGUCACCUUAAGAUCAAGAACCAGUGGCACUCUCUCCAUUCAGAUCAAGAAAGAAAACAUAGAGCAGCAUGAGCACGCAACAUAAAAAAAAUUGGUUAACCUUAAGAACAAGAACCAGAUGCCCUCUCCAUAUAGAUAAAAAAGAAAGAACCAUCAUAAACAUCCUAAGCCGCAAUGGAGGCACACACCAACUCCUGCAUACAAAACAUGAAGUGUAUUUUAGUUUCAUAGAUAAUGGUCUAUGAAGGGUCUUUUACUAAAUGCAUAGUACCCUAUGCCUUUAGUAUCCCAACCAGAACCAAAACCCAAACAAAUGGUCAACUAAGAGAAUGGUCUACCAAAACGACGAACCAAAUUAUCUCAUAGAAGAUACCAUAACUGCAUCAGGAUCCAAAAAUAUGUCGUAAAAACAUAGGGCACUAAGGCCAAUGUAGAUAAGAAGACAUUGUCGCAGUGGAGACGCAAAGACAGGGGGUCGAGGUCAUAGGGGGAAGCGCUCACCCAAGGAGCAAUACUGUACAUAUGUCACCCAGAAAAAUAUAAUCCAAUGUAUUGAAAAAAUAUACAAGCACCUUGAUGAUACUAUACAUAUGUCAACCAGAAAAUAAAAGGCUUACUAUACAUAUACAUAUGUCCUCCAAUUUCCAUAAAUUCUAAUAAAUAAUGUUCAGCUAAGAACAGAGUUGGGAGCAACCAAAAUUACACAAAUAAUCAAGCAUAAACCUAAGAAUAGGUCACAAAGUUACAUAGUGCUCAAUGGAUGUUUAUCCCACUAUUUUUGCAGCCUAAGACCAGUUUCUAUAGUCUACACUCCUCCACUUGUUUGCCUAUUCCAGCAAGUAGAUGGCCUGAGGCCUGAAUAAUGAAUCUAUGUAACUAAAAAGACAGAGCAUUCACAUGACAGUGCCAUGGAUCAAGAGGCCUCUAAUCUAAGAAUAUAAAAGAGGAAAACUAUACAAUAAAUGUGAUGAAAGCCAGGAAAACUGAGCGCUUGAGAUCAGAAUUGCAAGCAUAAACAGAAGAGAUACCUUCAUGUUCAGACCCCUGACCCCGACCCUGCAGUGAACGAUGUGGACGCCCCAGCGAGCCUUGAGAUCCGAUGCAUAGUGGUGGCACACAAUGGCAU